rnacentral:rRNA from 1 species
AAGCGUUGUUCGGAAUCACUGGGCGUAAAGGGCGUGUAGGCGGUCAGGUAAGUGAGACGUGAAAUGCCCCGGCUUACCCGGGGACCUGCGUCUCAUACUGCUUGGCUUGAGUACGGGAGAGGGUGUGGGAAUUCCUGGUGUAGCGGUGAAAUGCGUAGAUAUCAGGAGGAACACCGGUGGCGAAGGCGCACACCUGGCCCGAUACUGACGCUGAGGCGCGAAAGCUAGGGGAGCAAGCGGG